UUUAUAUAUAAACGUGUCUUGACAAUCAAGGACUUGAUGUGAGUCUUCCUUUAUGAUGUUUAUUAAUGUUAUGCAUUCCAUUUGUUUGAAGUGAGUACCAAUGUGCUAAUUUGUAUUGUCUGAAAGUAUGUAAUGUUUUUACAGCUUGUUUUUAAGACUCUGUAAAUAUGUACAAACCAGUCACAGUACCGCUUUAUGUUAGAAGGCGUGUGAUGUUGUACUGUAUGUAAGCAAUAAUACAUAGCAGUGCUAACUUUACAAGUAGCAUCAGGAACGUUCUAGAGAAACAUUUCAGAGUUAUCCUUAUUAGUUACCCUUGUUUCACUUAAUAAUGAUUACCUUUAAUCAGUUUUUAUAAGCAAAUUCCAUUGUUCCUCCUGUUGGAACGUAACACUGUUUACACAGCAUAACUGACGUUGCAGGGGGGACAGGCUAGAUGUGGCUUCGCCUGUGCUCACUCUCACUAAGCAUUGAAUGGCCUUACCACUCUUGUGCAAAGAUGGAGGAAGACCGCUGAACUUAGUGCCCAUCACACUGAAGGAAGGGAUGUGUUUUGUUUUGUUUUGUUUUGUUUUCCUGUUUCUGUACGGCUACCUAACUCUGGUUUGCUUUGGGUUUUAAUGUGUUUCUGCUCUAGAUUCAAGCCCGCAAGUGUUGAGGUAACUUCAGUUCAGUUGUGAAGUAGAUAGAUUUCUUCAUAUUUCAUAGCUACAUUUCAAUGAUUCUAAACUUUCUACUUUGAUUUUUAGAUACUUAUUUUUCAAGCUUGAUUUCUCAGCUGACCAGAUGAAUUUACUCAACUUCAAUACAAAGAAAGACAAACUUAUAGCUUGAAGUGAGUAGAUAUUAUACUGUACAGAGCAGCUCUCUGAACACCCAUCACUGCUUUAGAAACGAAGCCGCCAAUUUAUAAAUGAUUAUGACCUACAUUUUAUAGGGAAAAUGUUUUUAAUGCUAGUCAUUUAUAUAAUGUGCUUUGAAGGGUUUGCUAGGCCACUCCUGUCACUUUUUAGCACACUGGUACCUUUUCUAUGUAAUGUAUGCUUUUUAUUAUUGUAGCAAAGCAUUUCAGUAGAAAGAAUUUUGCAACAAUAUGGGGGAAAUUUUUCAUUGUCGGGUUUGAAUUAUACUGGAUUUUAUCUGUCUAGUCUUACUUGUCUUUAUUUUAAUGCUGUCUGGAAGGGACCUUGGUACCCAAAUAAAGCAGGUUAACCUCAUUGCUUCAAGGGCAUACAUACUGUGUAGUGCUGAGUUUCACCUGGAAAUCUGAUGACUUUGAAAAGAAAAACACAUUUAUAAAAAUUGUACAGAAGAAAUUAAAUGUGUGAUGGAAAUCCUGAUGGUGGAGCACAUUGGAUUUUCUGAGACAUAGUGUUAUUUUCCUGGAAUCCCUUAUGCCUUCUUUGUAUUCCAGCCAAUAAAGAAAACCUUGUUGUUGAAAGUGGUAGGCUGCUAGGAUAUUCUGAUUAUACAGUAUUGCUUUUCCUGUCCUGGUCUCGGCCCCUCUCAAUUGCUGUAAACUUUUAUUUUCUACUUCCUAUUGCUAAUUAAACAUGUAUAUAAUGUAGAGGCUGUUGUAUAGAACUGAAUGAAUUGGGAUGCUAUGCUUGAAUGGGUAGCUACGUGGAAAUAUUGGAUGGAUACUGAAAGUUCCUAAGAUGCCAGAGUAAAUUUACGCGGGAAAGGGGAUGUCUUUUCUUGGGAAGGCCACAGCAGAUGGUUCCUGCACCCCUAGGGGUCAGUGGGAGAAUCAGCUGCAAACUCAGUAUCAGACACAGAGUGGAGCCUCCCUUCCCUUCCCUUAAAAUAUGAGCACUAAAUUUCAAAAAUCUACUCAGGUGAACUUGCUUUGCAGUGAAACUUAACCACAUUGAAAUUUUCACUGUUAAAUACUAUAUUUGUGAUAUUUUUAAAUACAAACUUUUACACUGCAGUCAGCAGCCUAAUGAUUGAAAUUUAGCCAAGAUAUUUUAAAAGUAAUAGUUAUCCUCCAUGUAUAAUUGUUUUUAAACAAUUGGGAGGAUUUUUCUGUUGAAAGAUUUUUUUUUUUAUCAUCAUUGUUUAAAAAAAAAGAAACCAUCUUGCUUGAGCCCCCAUUUUAUACCAUAAGUGAGUCACUGAGCCAUUCAAGUGCAGUGGUGGCUUGUUUCACCCCUGGCCACGGGACGUGAACUGACAUUACAAGGUUUAAUGAGUUCAUAGCUUUUGGCACAGUUGUCACCUCGCCUCUUGGAGUUUAUAACACUGUUUUGUGUAUUGUGAUACUAAAAGGAAGUUGUUUUACAUUAUUUUAAAUUGAAUUAUUAGAUUAACUUAUAUUUGCAAAUUCUGCAUUUUAAAUGUGGACACUUGGCUGUUUGAAAAUAAAAUACAGAAUACAAGUUUUAUGAAUAAUUUUCUAGCUGAAUUUUUCACAGUACUUCGAACCAAAUAUCUACUGGUAAAUAUGCAAAAAAAAUGUGGUACAUAGUUACUCUAGAGGAAGGGAUGUCCAUGUGGAAUUACUAGUUCCAUAGGUUGAGUAAAUAUCAGGGCCUUUACUGUAGUUUGCCGUGAUAAUGUUACUAGUUCUAAGAUCUAGUCAGCUGUUAAUCAUCAUUAACUAUUUCAGACUUGAACCAUGUUGAAGCAUAGGGCUAAGAAUAUCUAUAUGGCUUUUCCUUUACAGAUAAGAUUCCAUCAACCUUUCUUUCAUCAGUAGCAUACAUAGUUUGUUGGGUGUUUUUCCCCCUCCAUUAGUGUAGAUAGACCUGUUUUCAGCCACCAGCCACCUUGCCAGGACUUCGUCUUCUGACAGUGGGAUGCAUUGUAAAAAAGCAGUUUGCAGUUAAGAGUGCUGCCUCCGUUCUUGGGACAAAUGUCAAUUAGUUGGCCCUUGCAAAAGUCAGUGCUCAGAGCCUGGCUUAUUGGCACGGUGCUGUAACCAACUGUACGUAAUGGUACCACUGACGGUCUACUAUUCAUUCCCUAGAUCCCGGUUCUUGAGUGAUUUGGCUUGGUGGGGAGAGGGGUGGGGAGAUUUCUACCUGACACUUCUCCCACCUUCUGAAGAUUCUAUG
rnacentral:lncRNA from 1 species